rnacentral:lncRNA from 1 species
CUCUGCUGUAGGCCCGGCAAGGCCCCCAGUGAUUACGCUAACUGACUGCGAAAAUGCACAGAGGAGCCCGGCCUCAGCCUCUUCAAUCUAAUCCAAUCUUAAGGAAUGGCAGCUCUGAGUAGCACCGACUGGAUAAUUAUUGGCGCUGACAAGGUGAGGGCGUUUGCAGGCAAAUGAGCGGGGAAGCAACCCUCAGUCCCCAGACCACCCAGGGCCCGGGCCGCGCUGCUGCUCCGUGUCGGGCUCGGAACUGGGAGGCUGUUUCAUCUGGGGUCUGAUACUCCCUCCCUGCCUCUCCCACCCAGCCUACCGCACUUCUGCCUCUCCCACCCGGCCUCGAGGGAGGGCUUGCAGGAGGAGGGUGAGGAAGUUACUCCCCUACGUCCUGCCCGGGGUGGGCUACAGAGCACAGGCCCUGCAGGGAGUCUCUCCAUGUUAUGAUGGGACGCAUGAAGCCUGUCCAGUGCCCAAGACCCUCCCUCGAUGGUGCAGGCCUGGGGACUCUCUGUGGGAGCUCAGCCUGGUGGUGGAGACUCAGGCUUUUUGCAAAGGCAAUGGGAUCUAAAAACAGGGACUAUGCAGACUGUGCACGUUCGUCCUGAAAUGUUCCCUUCAGCCAGAGGAACUCACCAAGCUCUGGAGUUUUAGAGGGGAUUUUGGAGCUGUCUGACCAGGGCUGAAUGGGGGCCGCACUGCUCUGGCCAUACCUGGCUUUGCUGCCCCCAUCAUGCCGUCUGUAGAUAGGGACAAUAAUUUUUAGAGACAUCAGACUCAGGGCUGGCAAGAGAGAGGAGAGGGACAAAGUGGAGGAGCAGGGACAGACUCUAAGGCAGGGCACAUAGAAGGAAACGUGGGAGGCAGAGGACUGGGAGUGGCAGCAGCAGAUGCCACCAGAUGCUGCCCUGCCUCAGGCCUUCCCUGCCCCGGUAUAAAAGAUUUGGGGCCAAAAUGAAGCUGUUAAAAACCACAUCUGUAAAAAUGGUGUAAUGAUUAUGGGUGGGUAAAAAUCUGGCAAGUCUGUGUGUAGGUGCAUGUGUAUAUUGUGUAUGUGUGCACAUAUGCAUAUGUGUGCAUGCAUGUAAGCAUAUAUGUACACAUCUGUGUGUACAUACAUGAGCGUGCACUUGUAUAUGUAGGAUUGUGUGGGCUCGUCUUCAUCUAUUGUGUGUACGUGUGCUUAUAUGUUGUAUUGUAUGUAUAUGUGUGUACCUGCUUGUGUGCAUUUAAUUAUUUUUCAGGUUUCACUCUUACAACCAUGGAAGAUUCUAUGCUCAGCUUCCGGCGAGACUAACAGUGACAGAGGAAUCACAAAUACAGCUCAGAAUGGUUUGUGCCGUGUUGUUUUCAUUCCUACCUUAUUUCUGUUGCACUGGGGGGCAUUCACUGAGGGUCUGCAGCGUCUCAUUCAGGCCUCCUAACUGCCUACCGGCCCUGGAGUGUCUGCAGGCAUCUCCAGCUGAACCUCAGAUUCCUCCAGCCUCUUCCCCUGACACAGGCUUCCUUGCCUUCUCACCCUGCCCCUGGCCACGGCUCAGGCCACACGGCUCUGGGUGCUGUCCUUAGAGUGCUUGCAGCUCUCCAUCCCACACAUGUCCCAGAUCUGGCCCUGACAUUCUAUCCUGCUGCCAUGAACCUAGCUCAAGUCACUGCCAUCUUCCUCCAGCUCCACCAUCACUGAGAGUCACUAACAGCCUUUCAGUGGGUCUCUGCUUAGCCUCCUCCCGGUUGCCCCACUCUCCACA